rnacentral:rRNA from 1 species
AACGAACGCUGGCGGCAUGCCUAAUACAUGCAAGUCGAACGAUCACUUCGGUGGUAGUGGCGCACGGGUGCGUAACGCGUGGGAAUCUGCCCUUGGGUUCGGAAUAACUUCGGGAAACUGAAGCUAAUACCGGAUGAUGACGUUAAGUCCAAAGAUUUAUCGCCCAGGGAUGAGCCCGCGUAGGAUUAGCUAGUUGGUGGGGUAAAGGCCUACCAAGGCGACGAUCCUUAGCUGGUCUGAGAGGAUGAUCAGCCACACUGGGACUGAGACACGGCCCAGACUCCUACGGGAGGCAGCAGUAGGGAAUAUUGGACAAUGGGCGCAAGCCUGAUCCAGCAAUGCCGCGUGAGUGAUGAAGGCCUUAGGGUUGUAAAGCUCUUUUACCCGGGAUGAUAAUGACAGUACCGGGAGAAUAAGCUCCGGCUAACUCCGUGCCAGCCGCCGCGGUAA